UUCGGAAAUGUUUACGGCUUUACGCGUUUAAUAACCAUCUCGUCUGUAAUAAAAGGCGGCGAGUUUUGAUACGAAAUCAUUUCUUCACUCAGAAGGCAACAAAAUGAACAAGUCAGCACUUCUCCUCUUGCUUGUCAUCGGACUCCUCGUCUCCAUAGAAACCACGAAUGCUGAAGUGAAGUGGGGCUGGACAGGUGAUCGUCGCCGCUGGGACCAAAAAAAGAUGCAUAACGUUAAAGACUUCUUGAAACAAUUCCAACAAGUCCGAGAUAUUGAUUUGGAAUUUUAAAGCAGAAUGCUGAUGGUCGUUAUUAUAAAUACAACAUCCUGUAAUAACAAGUUUGAA